GACGAACGCUGGCGGCGUGCUUAACACAUGCAAGUCGAACGGAAAGGCUCCGGCUUGCUGGAGUACUCGAGUGGCGAACGGGUGAGUAACACGUGGGUAAUCUGCCCUGCACUCUGGGAUAAGCCUGGGAAACUGGGUCUAAUACUGGAUAUGACCUUUCUCCUUAUGGGGUUUGGUGGAAAGUUUUUCGGUGUAGGAUGAGCCCGCGGCCUAUCAGCUUGUUGGUGGGGUGAUGGCCUACCAAGGCGACGACGGGUAGCCGGCCUGAGAGGGUGAUCGGCCACAUUGGGACUGAGAUACGGCCCAGACUCCUACGGGAGGCAGCAGUGGGGAAUAUUGCACAAUGGGCGGAAGCCUGAUGCAGCGACGCCGCGUGAGGGAUGACGGCCUUCGGGUUGUAAACCUCUUUCAGCAGGGACGAAGCGUAAGUGACGGUACCUGCAGAAGAAGCACCGGCUAACUAUGUG
rnacentral:rRNA from 1 species